AGAGUUUGAUCAUGGCUCAGAUUGAACGCUGGCGGCAGGCCUAACACAUGCAAGUCGAACGGUAACAGGAAGUGCCUGGCCUCCUCUCACAAGUGGGGGAGAGGGGAGUGUUGCUUGGGAGAUCGCCCCUUCAAGGGGGAGACCACUUUGAGACAACACCGCAUACCCCACAUUGUCUCCAGAG
rnacentral:rRNA from 1 species